GAGGUUGUGGCUCAGCGGUAGAGCGCUCACCUAGCACAUGUGAGGCCCUGGGUUCGAUCCUCAGCACCACA
rnacentral:tRNA from 1 species